rnacentral:lncRNA from 10 species
CCACCAAUACCACGUAGCUUUGUAUAUAAUAAGUCUUGAAAUUGGAUAAAAUGAUUCCUCCCACAUUAUUCUUUCUUUUCAAAAUGGGUUUGGCUAUCCUGGUGCCUUUGCAUUCCCAUAUGAAUUUUAGAAUAUCUUUAUCUACAAAAAUCUUGCUGGGAUGUUAUAGUAAUUGUACUAAAUAUGUGUAUCAAUUUAAGAAUUACAGACAUCCAUCAACAUAGUAUAAAUCACUAUAUAGAUAUUAUUUAAUUUCUUUCAUCAGUAUUUUGAGGCUUUCAGAAAACAAAUCCUGUACAUAUUUUGUUAGAUUUACAACUAUAAUUUUAUUUUUGUAGAUAGUAUGAUAUUUUUAAUUGCAGGUGUUCAUUGCCAGAAUAUAAAAAUAGAACUGAUUUUUGUAUUUUUAUCUGUAUCCUAUAAACUUGCUGAAUUCACUUAUUAUUUCUAGAAGUUUUUGUUUUUUAGAUGCCUUACAGGUCAGUUUUAUUUACUCCUUUUCAAUAUGUAUUUUUUGAAUUUCCUUUGCUUGUUUUAUUGCACUGGCUAGAACUCCUAGCAUUAUGUUGAAUACCAGUGAUGAGAGUACACAUCCUUGCCUUGUUUCUAUUCUGAAAGGAAAAGUAUUUACACUUUUCCCAUUAACUAUAAUGGUAGCUGUAAGUAUUUUGUGUUAAGAAAGUUCACCUCUAUUUCUAUAUUUCUUAGAGUAUUGACUUUGUCCAACUUUUUUGCAUUGAUUGGUAUGAUCAUGUAAUUUUCAUCCAUAGCCUCUUAAUAAAGUACAUUGAUUCUUGAAUAUUGAACUAGGUUUGCCUCCUGUGAUGAAUCAUACUUUGUCAUUACACACAUUGUCAUAGUGUAUAGUUAUACAUAUUGCUGCAUUGCAUGCUAAUAUAAUGUUAACCAUUUUUUAAUAUGUAUUCUUGAGGGACAUUGGUCUAGUUUUCUUUUAUGUGCUGUCUGUGUCUGGUUUUAAUAUAAGGGUAAUACUAACUUUAUAAAAUAAAUUAGGAAGCAUUCCUUCCUUUUCUAUUCUCUAGGAGAGAUUGUGUAGUUUUAGUGCCAAUCUUUCCUUAAACAUUUGCUAGAUUUUCCAGCAAAAUUAUAGGGUCCUGGAGAUUUUUUUGGAAAUUUUUAGUUUAUGAAUUCAAUUUUAUUCACAGUUGUAGAAUUAUUCAAUUUAUCUAUUUCAUAUUGGAUGAGUUUUGGUAGUUUAUGUUUCUCAAGUAACUAGCAGUCCACUCUAUCUUGUCAAUUUUUAUAUAAGUUGUUCAUCUUAUUCCCCAGCAUCCUUUAAUUGUCUGAAGUUUAUGAAUUCAAUUUUAUUCACAGUUGUAGAACUAUUCAAUUUAUCUAUUUCAUAUUGGAUAAGUUUUGGUAGUUUGUGUUUCUCAAGUAACUAGCAGUCCACUCUAUCCUAAUUGUCAAUUUUUAUAUAAGUUGUUCAUCUGAUACCCCAUCAUCCUUUGUCUGAAGGAUCUAUAGUAAUAUGCCCUAUUUCAUGUAUUAUAUUUGUAAUAUGUGUCUUUAUUUUUUGCCAGUGUUGUUAAAAGUUUAUCAAUUUUAUCUUUUUGAGUAAACUACACUUUGUUUUACUGAUUUCCUCUACGUUUUAUAUUUUCAAUUUAACUGAUCUUUGCUCUUUUUUAUUUUAAUUUUAUCUGCUUGCUUUGGGCUUACGUUGUCCUGAUUUUUUUUUUUUUUUUUUUUAGUUUCUUGAGGUGAGAGUUUAGAUGAUGAAUUUGAGACUUUUCUUCUUUUCUAAUGUAUGCAUUUGGUGCUAUAAAUUUUCUUCUCAGCAUUGCUUUAGCUAUUUUUCAUAAAUGUUAAUGUGUUGUAUUUUCACUUUCAUUCAGUGCAAUGUAUUAUCUUUUUCCCUGAGACUUUCUCUUUGAUCUAUAGGUUAUUUACACACAUGUGUUGCCUAGUUUUCAAGUGUCUAGAGAUUUUUCUUUUAUAUUUUUGCAAUGGACUGAAUUAUCAUAACCCCCUCCCCACCAUUCAUAUGUUGAAAUCCUAACUUCCAAGGUGAUGGAAUUAGGUGGGGGGGGGGGGGGUUGGAAGGCAAUUAGGUCAUGAAGGUAGAGCCAUUAUGAAUCUGAUUAGUACUCUUAUAAGAGAAGCCUUGGAAAGACCUCUUACCCUUCCACUAUGUGGAGACACAACAAGAAAGCACUAUCUACAGGCCAAGAAAUCGAUCUUCUCCAGACACCAAAUCUACUGAAGCCUUGACCUCGGACUUUCCAGCUCAAACUGUGAGAAAUAAAUAACUGUUGUUUACAGAUUACUCUGUUUAUAGUAUUUUGUUAUAGCAGGCAGAAUGGUUAAAGUCACUUUCUGUUAAAAGUUUCUAGUUUGAUUUUAUUGUGAUCAAAGAACACACUUUGUAUGUUUUUAAUUAUUUUACAUUUGUUGAGGUUAAUUAGCUUUAUGACCCAAGUUGUACUCUAUCUUGGUAUAUGGUCUGUUAGUACCUGAAAUGAUAUGUAUUCUCCUGUUCUGGGGUGUAGUACUCUAAAAAAGUUUUCAGAUCUUGUUUCUUGUUGGUUAAUAGCACUGUUGAAUUCUGUAUGCUUGUUGAUUUUUUAUCUAGCUUUUCUAUCCAUUGUUGUGAGAAGGUUGUUGAAGUAUCAAACUAUAAGUGCUGAUUUGUUGACUUCUUCUUUCACUUCUGUCAGUUUUUGAUUCUCAUUUUUUUGCAGCAUCAUUGUUUGGCGCAUGCACGUUUAGGAAUGUUCUCUCUUUGUUGGAUUGACACUUUUAUUAUCAUGUAAUAUCCUUCUCUGUUUUUGGUAAUUUUCUUUUCCAUUGCUUACAAGUUUGUUUCAUGCUAGGCUGCUCCUUUCUUGAUUCUUUGGCUAGAAACAGCAAACUUUUGUUUCAGGGCUUUUUUUGUCUGGUUGUCUUGGUGUUUCCAGGUUGUGGACUUCUUCAGCUACAAGUUUGGGAUAUAUGAAGGAAACAAAAACCAAAAGAGAACAGAGAAGUUACCACUGUGUCAUUAUUUGGGUCUAAAGGGUUCCUAGCACGUCUGCCUUCUUCUCUUCAUCUUUCAGAGUCUUCUUAUGUUUCAUACAUAAUUUCCAGGUUUUUAAGUUGUACUUAGCUGGAGGAAUAGGAAAAACUGUAUCUAUUCCCUCUUCUCCAAAGCGGAAGUCUCCAGAGUUGUUCCGCAAUUAAAUGUGAUCAUGUAUGUAAAAGUGUCCACAGGAUCGAUAGUAAACAUUUAAAGUAAACAAAAAUAACAAAGGCCUACUUUUGUUAUUUACUUACACAAGGGAAGAGCAUGAUACCUUAAAGCUAGAAAAGAAUUCUUCUUGUAUUUUGCAUCUAUUUAUUUCUUUUCUUUGACACACAAAUUGUUUACACAAUAUGAAAAUAAUAUCGCAUCUAGCCAACUUCUCUUUAACACCCCCAUUAUAUACAGACACGACUUCUGAUGAAAUAUGACAUGAAAUUAUGUGUUCUGAAAUUAAAUAUUGCAAAGUUACCUAGGCAUUCCUCUAGUGGUUUCUUGCCCUCACUAAGCAGACAUGUCUAAGAAUCCAAAAGGCAAAGCAGACUUUAAGUACAUUCUUUUUUUGGAAAAAUAACUACAAGACUCUUGGGAAAUAUUAUUCUUUGAAAAUAUUUGCUUAACAAAGUAAAGAGACUAAACACAAAUAUGAGCCAGAUGUUUGACAUUUUUUCAUCAUUUGCUGUGUACAACAUUUGUCCAGCUAACACACUUUAGAAAGACAGUCUUAUCAAUAAGAGAUAUGUUUAUGUAACACUGUGUCCUCAGAAGAUGACCAGUGAUAACAUUUUUUCUAUAUUCUUUCAAUUUUUAUAGAAAAUAAGCUCCAAAUUUUUAUAACUACUCUAUAAAACACCAUGUCAGAAUGAAAAGGUUGGGAAGACAGAAAUAGAGAGAGAAUGUAAAAUUGUACUUGGAAAUAUUUCAACAUGUAAUAUCAAGAAAUUUAGCAAUAGCUCUCUAUAUCCAGUCCAGUCUUCUUACUUUAUGAAAACUGAAUUUCAGAGAACUUAAGUGAACUAAGAGUAAAUGCUGGCAGAAUUGAAGAUAAAAUUCGCAUCUCCUAUUUUUAAGUCCAAUGGGCUUUUUAAAUUUUCUCAUCUGUUAUUAAUGUUAAAAAAAAGACUUUUUUUUCAAGAAAAAGGUGAAGAUAAAGUGUUAGUAAUAAUAGAAAUAAAUUACAAGAGUAUUGUAAUCCCAGCACUUUGGGAGGCCAAGUCAGGUGGAUCACUUGAGGUCAGGAGUUUGAGACCAACCUGGCCAACAUGGUGAAACCCCGUGUCUACUAAAAAUACAAAAAUUAGCCAGGCAUGGUAGCUCACGCCUGUAGUCCCAGCUACUCAGGAGGCUGAGGCAGGAGAAUCACUUGAACCCAUGAGACUGAGGUUGCAGUGAGCUGAGAUCGUGCCACUGCACUUCAGCCUGGGCAAUAGAACAAGACUCAAUCACACACACAAAAAAAUUACAAUAGUGUAAAAAUAAAGCAUACAUUUUCCUAAAUAGGGAUGUUUUCCUUUUUAUACGAUUUCUUGCCAGACUCCAAAAAAAAAAACUUUUUUUUUUUUUUUUUUUUUUUUUUUUUUUUUUUUUUUUUUUUGUGAUGGAGUCUCACUCUUGCCCAGGCUGGAGUGCAGUGGCAAUCUCAGCUUACUGUAACCUCUGCCUCCGGGUUCAAGCAAUUCUUGUGCCUCAGCCUCCUGAGCAGCUGAGACUACAGGCAUGCACCACAACACCUGACUAAUUUAUUUAUUUAUUUAUUUAUUUGUAUUUUUAGUAGAGAUGGGGUUUCAUUAUAUUGACCAAGCUGGUCUCCAACUCCUGACCUCAGGUGAUCUGCUCACCUCGGCCUCCCAAAGUGCUGGGAUUACAGACGUUAGCCACCAUGCCUGACCAAAAACCUCUUCUAUAUUUAGAAUUUGAGCAUCAAUUUAAGACUAAGACCAAUAAAAUACUGCUAACAUGAAUAAGAGAUUAAAUUAGAUUUAAUUUAUUUAGAUACAUGACUGUGACCAUUCUAAACAAAAAUAUACAUCAUUAAAGAGUUCUCUCAAUAACACUAAUAUGAAUAAAUGGUUUGAUCAUAUGUAUAUAUGUUAAUUUUAUAUACUUUUUUACUUUUUACUAUGAAUGUUUGCUAUAUGCUGUUUUAUAUAUAUAUAAUAUAUAUAACAUAUGUAAUUUAAUUUACACAUAGAUUAGGAAGUAUAAUGAUGAAAUGAACACUUGUGGGCUUACCAAAUAAAUUAGCAUGUAGACUAUUAUCUACACCCAUGAACUUCCUAUUGCUCUUUUCCUCCCUCUCAUCUCAUCUCCCCACUUCUCCCACACUCAUGAGGAAACUAUAUUCUGAAUGUGGGCUCCUUAUCACUCUUUUGCCUUUCUGUAUAGGUAAUAGCUAUGUGUCUAUAUAUACUUAUAUAUACUAAGGAAUUCCAAAGACUUAGAAGUCAAAACAAAAUUGCAUGUUUGUAUGUAUGCACCCUAGAGAAGAGGAAGGAAGGAGUCUUCAGACAGAGGAUUUUAAAGAUGUUGUCCAAGUAUGGACAUUUUAAAGUUACUUCCACAGUAUUUGUCUAGAUGAUUUUAUUUCUUCCAAGAUUUAGAAAAAUGUUUAUUUUAUCAUAUGCAUGACUGUGUAUACAUACAAAUAAAAGAAACAAUUGAAGCUAUUUUCAAUAGAUUCAAACCAAAUAAGGAUUUCCUCAAGAAUCUAAAUAUUUCAAAGGAAACUUUUUGCAUUACUAAUCAGGAAAACCUUUUCUUUUUUAUCUUUCUGUGAUAAUAUGCUCUUUAAAUUCCCAUUCUCUUCCCCUUCUAACUACUCCACAACACUCUCGAUACUGUCAGAGUCUUCUACAUGUGGGGCACUGUUUCAGGACUGAGGGUGAACAGUCAAGAACAGGAUAGAGAUAAUCCCUAACCUUGUGUGACUGAUUUACAUUUCAGUGUGGCAAAAUCUAAGGGACUGUUGUCCUAUCUGGGUUUCCUUGGGCCUAGAAGUCUUCAUUCUUUGUUCUCCCAAAACUUACAGAUGGAAUUCUCAAGGAUUAUGGUUUCAGACCAGAACUGUACUAAUGCUAUGCACUUUUGGGAUGCUGAAAUAUCAACAUGACAGGCAAACUAAUUUGUCCUACCAAUGAGUUAUGAGAUUUUGGCAUUUAAAUUCCUCUUCCAUUUAUUUAUUCUGCUCCAAAAUCAUGUGUUCUUGUACUGCUAAACUCAUACCUGAAUUACUGCUAACGUGUUCCCAGUGUAUCUUCUGAAUCCUAGUCUUCAGUUGACCUUGCAUAAUUUCCAACAAAUCAAUUGUCCCUUUAUACUUACUUCAUUUUUUCAUUCUCUUCUGCCAUCUUCCACAUUUUUAAUUUAAAUUAGUCAAAACUGAAUAUUUCUGUCUGGCUUCUCAAGGACCACCAAGGCCCACUAUAAUGUGGUUCCUUUAUUUGCUAGGAGUAGAGGUUGUUUUCUUAGUCUAAACUUCUUUCUUUUUUUUUUUUUUUUUUUUUUUUUUGAGACAGAGUCUCACUCUGUUGCCCAGGCUAGAGUGCAGUGGCAUGAUCUCGGCUCAC